GAUGAACGCUGGCGGCGUGCCUAAUACAUGCAAGUCGAGCGAACAGACGAGGAGCUUGCUCCUCUGACGUUAGCGGCGGACGGGUGAGUAACACGUGGAUAACCUACCUAUAAGACUGGGAUAACUUCGGGAAACCGGAGCUAAUACCGGAUCAUAUAUUGAACCGCAUGGUUCAAUAGUGAAAGACGGUUUUGCUGUCACUUAUAGAUGGAUCCGCGCCGCAUUAGCUAGUUGGUAAGGUAACGGCUUACCAAGGCAACGAUGCGUAGCCGACCUGAGAGGGUGAUCGGCCACACUGGAACUGAGACACGGUCCAGACUCCUACGGGAGGCAGCAGUAGGGAAUCUUCCGCAAUGGGCGGAAGCUUGACGGAGCAACGCCGCGUGAGUGAUGAAGGUCUUCGGAUCGUAAAACUCUGUUAUUAGGGAAGAACAAAUGUGUAAGUAACUAUGCACGUCUUGACGGUACCUAAUCAGAAGGCCACGGCUAACUACGUG
rnacentral:rRNA from 1 species